rnacentral:rRNA from 1 species
UACGUAGGGGGCUAGCGUUGUCCGGAAUCAUUGGGCGUAAAGCGCGUGUAGGCGGCCCGGUAAGUCCGCUGUGAAAGUCGGGGGCUCAACCCUCGGAUGCCGGUGGAUACUGUCGGGCUAGAGUACGGAAGAGGCGAGUGGAAUUCCAGGUGUAGCGGUGAAAUGCGUAGAUAUCUGGAGGAACACCGGUGGCGAAGGCGGCAUCCUGGACCAACACUGACGCUGAGGAGCGAAAGCCAGGGGAGCAAACGGG